rnacentral:rRNA from 1 species
UUACCAUGCAGUCGACGAUGAUGCCAGCUUGCUGGUGGAUUAGUGGCGAACGGGUGAGUAACACGUGAGUAACCUGCCCUUAACUCUGGGAUAAGCCUGGGAAACUGGGUCUAAUACCGGAUAUGACUCCUCAUCGCAUGGUGGGGGGUGGAAAGCUUUUUGUGGUUUUGGAUGGACUCGCGGCCUAUCAGCUUGUUGGUGAGGUAAUGGCUCACCAAGGCGACGACGGGUAGCCGGCCUGAGAGGGUGACCGGCCACACUGGGACUGAGACACGGCCCAGACUCCUACGGGAGGCAGCAGUGGGGAAUAUUGCACAAUGGGCGCAAGCCUGAUGCAGCGACGCCGCGUGAGGGAUGACGGCCUUCGGGUUGUAAACCUCUUUCAGUAGGGAAGAAGCGAAAGUGACGGUACCUGCAGAAGAAGCGCCGGCUAACUACGUGCCAGCAGCCGCGGUAAUACGUAGGGCGCAAGCGUUAUCCGGAAUUAUUGGGCGUAAAGAGCUCGUAGGCGGUUUGUCGCGUCUGCCGUGAAAGUCCGGGGCUCAACUCCGGAUCUGCGGUGGGUACGGGCAGACUAGAGUGAUGUAGGGGAGACUGGAAUUCCUGGUGUAGCGGUGAAAUGCGCAGAUAUCAGGAGGAACACCGAUGGCGAAGGCAGGUCUCUGGGCAUUAACUGACGCUGAGGAGCGAAAGCAUGGGGAGCGAACAGGAUUAGAUACCCUGGUAGUCCAUGCCGUAAACGUUGGGCACUAGGUGUGGGGGACAUUCCACGUUUUCCGCGCCGUAGCUAACGCAUUAAG